AGAGAUGACAUCAAACUUCUUCCAGAAAUGUUGUUCCUUCAGUCUUCAGCCAGGAAGGGACAGAGAAACCAAUAGGAUACUUUGGAUUCCAUCAAGCUGUGGUGCAAAGAUUCUUGACCUCUGAGAGAGAAAUCAUGUAUCUAUGCUGUUCAAGGAACAAAAUCUGAUGCUGCAUUUGAGCAGCUGCUAUAAGCAGAACCCUUUUUUGAGGACUGAAGAUUGACAGUGAUGGCUGAUGAUCCAUGAUGAGGAUAAAUCUCUUCUGUUGCAAGUAUUUGUUGAAAUGUUUAACUUUCCAAACCAAACUCAGCAUUUUCCUGUCUAUUUGUGCAUAUUUUUCUCUGCAGCUGUGAGUGAGCAUGAUGGAAAAAUUUAUUGGGCAUUCAUUGCUGACUGACUGGACAUGUGAAAUAAACGCACUGAUGCUAAUUGUCUGAAAGUACAUCUCCUACCAUCCUCAUCUUUACAAUCCAAGGAACUAAGAAUGGUCCAUUCUAAAAUAUUUGGCAUGUUCCAUUCCUUCUUAACCUCAUCUGACUCUUACCUGACCAUUGCCUCAUCUGCCUUCUGUCUACCAAAGUCAUUCCCAUGCACCACUAUAGUUCUGGGGCUAUAUCCCUCUA